UUUAAUGUACCUCUUCAAAUAGACUGGGUAUCGAUGCUCUUGGUCACAGGGACAGACUGCUUCGCCUUCAAGGUCGUGAUUGCGGGAGAAAUAGCAGGAGCAUUGUUGUAGCCCCGAGUUUCGGUAGUCAUCUUUUCCGGUUCAGACAAAGAGAAAUAGAGAUUGAGAAAUCAAGGAGUCGGCGAUCAAUAGGAGAAGAAGAAGAAGACGACAAGAGUCUGGAACUUCUUCUUCCUCGGAAAAUGAGUUCUUGACUUAGCUCGACGCAAAAGAGCCCAAUUCGGUUUUUUACGUGUGUUUCAGGAGUGCGCCCUGCUUCAGUACCAACUCGAUUAGUGCUUGCUUGACUUGGCCCGUCAAUUUCAUUGCAGAGUAGUUCUACAACGAGAAAUUUAACUCGUGACCCUCGAUCCCGAUGCAGCUUUAACUUGUUAAUCAGAGCUGUGAAGUAGGUAGGAGCUUUUGGACUUUGAGCAAAAACUUUUACAGAGGCUGAGGAGACAUUAGAUUCUAGAUUUUAGAGAGAUGGCAAGGGACUUCUAAUCUCAGUUCAUAUAAUAUUUUUUCAUCCGCAAAAUUGCCCUUGUGUUUUAUUUCGAAAAUUUAAAGAACAAUGAAGGGUAAAAUCGACUGCAAAAGGAUAAUUUUAAAAUUAAAAAAUUAUAUAAGUAACAUGACACUGCAUACGAACGGAUUAUAACGAUGCGCUAACGGUGGAGAGGAUUUUGUCUAUUGUCGGAAGACUUAAGGGUCUUUUAAGUUAAUUUUCAAACCAUAUGGGUAUUUAAGUAUUUAACCCUUAAAUGUGUUCGGUUUUCUGUUUCUUGUUUUGUUUCCACUCGAGCGGAGCUGUUUGGCCUAAUGGCCUUGUCGCAAGGAAGAAGAAGAACAAAAAAUAUUAUAGUACUGCUGUGUUUGAAGCUUUCACCAUAGACUGAAGGAGGGCACUUUUCUCCCCAAAACAUUGUAACUUGCCUAUAAAUUCUUCUUCUCGAUUCUCGACAACCAUAAUGCAUUCUCCCAUGCCCAUGGUCGACGGUUUGAAAGGUGGCCUCGGAUUAAGCAAUCAGAACAAGAAGGUAGUAGCGUGAAAAUGCAUUGAGAUUUUAUUCUGCGGAGGUUUUGAUGAAUUACUUGGAAUGUGCAGAUGUCUAUGCAAACCCAACAGAGAGGGUGGCCUGAGGAUCAGAACUCUGGACAGUUUUGCAGCUUGAGCAGCCAAACCACUUCAAAAUUCAUACUUGUGGACCCCCUUGCUUUGGUUUCCAUGUGGGCAUCACAUUCCCUUGGAAACGCUAUUCCUCAAAAAAUAACUUUCAUUAUUGCUCUUGUCUUACACGAUCAAUAGACCUGUGAUGAAUCUCUGGCCUCAAGCCUGUUACUCUGCUCCUCCAAGUUGCAAGAUUACCGCAAAAAAAGAAGAUGACUAAAUCAGUUGGUUGCAAUGGACAAGUGAUAGUAACCGGCCGUCAGUACCUCCAUGGUGGUGUACUAGUUUACAUGUUGGAGGACCUUUAAGAUGGGUUACAGAGAGCGGAGGCUUUGUGUAGGACAUAUUUUUAGUGAAGCUCAUUGGUUCAAAUGAUUCUAUGUAAUAUUCUUCUGGAAUCAGGUAUAUUUAUAAUUAUAGCGUCAUCUGUGACCAAGAGACUCAGUAAUUGAAGUAGUGAAUCUGGUGAAACGUAGAAUUUUGCUAGAGUAUUACUCACCAUAAACAGAACAGACUGACACUGUUGCAGGUGGUGCGUAAUAAACCAAGAAUACAAGAUUGUGGUGGGAGCUUUUUCUUAUUGAUGAGGUGAAUCGGCUUCGGUCAGGGCAAGCCCGUGCUCUGAUGAAGUGGGGGAAUUUCUUAGAGCCAAAUGCUUCAGGGCGACUCCGGAUCUGGUGCGAAUACGGGUGCAUAACGGGCGAUGAAAACCAAUCACCAGUGAGCACGCUUCCAUACACAUGGGACUCUCGUGUAAUGCACGGAAAAUUGGCGUUACAGCUUGUUAUACAUGGAUGUAUUCGCAGCAGAUUGUGGUGUACAGCCAGGCCUCUUUGGG